rnacentral:rRNA from 1 species
UGCGUAGGCGGGUGAUAAAGUCAGGUGUGAAAUGCCGCAGCUUAACUGCGGAGCUGCACUUGAAACUUAUCAUCUUGAGUGGAGUAGAGGCAAGCGGAAUUCCCAGUGUAGCGGUGAAAUGCGUAGAUAUUGGGAGGAACACCAGUGGCGAAGGCGGCUUGCUGGGCUUUAACUGACGCUGAGGCACGAAAGUGUGGGGAGCAAACAGGAUUAGAUACCCUGGUAGUCCACACUGUAAACGAUGGAUACUAGGUGUGGGAGGUAUUGACCCCUUCCGUGCCGGAGUUAACACAAUAAGUAUCCCACCUGGGGAGUACGGCCGCAAGGUUGAA